UACGUAGGGGGCGAGCGUUGUCCGGAUUUAUUGGGCGUAAAGAGCUCGUAGGCGGUCUGUUGCGUCGGCUGUGAAAACCCGGGGCUCAACUCCGGGCCUGCAGCCGAUACGGGCAGACUAGAGUUCGGCAGGGGAGACUGGAAUUCCUGGUGUAGCGGUGAAAUGCGCAGAUAUCAGGAGGAACACCGGUGGCGAAGGCGGGUCUCUGGGCCGAUACUGACGCUGAGGAGCGAAAGCGUGGGGAGCGAACAGG
rnacentral:rRNA from 1 species